rnacentral:lncRNA from 1 species
UUAAUAACUCAUCCUCAAAUUGCCCCCUUAAGGGUCGCAUUGCCCCCUUGUGGGGCGCAUGCCCCACAAGGGGGCAGUGUGGUUUUUAAGGGGGCAAUUCGUGUUUGUGUUGAGGCUUUUGUUUGUGCAGCGUUCUGUAGCUUUGUGUGGGUCGGGGUUUCUGUUCCAUCUUGUGAGGCAUGUAAUGAGGAUUAAUGAGGCAUGCGCCCCAUUAAUCCUUGUGGGGCAUGUGCCCCACAUUGGGAACCACUGCUCUUUACGGUUAAGAACAUUGAAAUAAAAGAAUUCUUUUGUUUCGAUGUUCUUAGCCAUAUACAGCUUGAUGAUAGCAGCCAUGUAAUGCCGAAAACAUUAGUUAAAUAAAAAGAGAAAAUUACAUACAAGUGCCAGAAAUGUUGAGUUUUUUGUGAAAGUAUUAGAAGGAAAAGUAUUAUGAUUUAAAUUAAUACAAAUAAUUUGCUAAACAGAAAAAAAUAGUAAAUGAUUGAGAUUAUUAAUAAUUUGUUACAUACAAAAGUAAUAUGCAAAAUAAAUGAAUAAAAUUGUUUAUCAAAAAAAAUAUAUUUAUUUUAAGAAAAAAAUGCAGAUAUACUUAGAAUUUGCCAUUUUUUCCAAUUCAAUAAAAAUUACAUAAGAUGUACCAUCAACCAGGGUGUAUUUGCCCACUUUUCAACUUUACACUUAAAUUACUGAUAUCUCCAGACAUAAUUUCAUGAAGAAACAAAUUGU